rnacentral:rRNA from 1 species
CGUGGGUGGAUGAGUGGCGAACGGGUGAGUAACACGUGAGUAACCUGCCCCCUUCUUUGGGAUAACGCCCGGAAACGGGUGCUAAUACUGGAUAUUCACUUGCCUUCGCAUGGGGGUUGGUGGAAAGGGUUUUUUCUGGUGGGGGAUGGGCUCGCGGCCUAUCAGCUUGUUGGUGGGGUGAUGGCCUACCAAGGCUUUGACGGGUAGCCGGCCUGAGAGGGUGACCGGUCACAUUGGGACUGAGAUACGGCCCAG